GCCCCGCCCGGAAAGGGUGGAGCACAACGUCGAAAGCAGCCGUUGGGAGCCCAGGAGGCGGGGCGCCUGUGGGAGCCGUGGAGGGAACUUUCCCAGUCCCCGAGGCGGAUCCGGUGUUGCAUCCUUGGAGCGAGCUGAGAGCUCGAGUACAGAACCUGCUAAGGCCAUCAAACCUAUUGAUCGGAAGUCAGUCCAUCAGAUUUGCUCUGGGCCGGUGGUACCGAGUCUAAGCACUGCGGUGAAGGAGUUAGUAGAAAACAGUCUGGAUGCUGGUGCCACUAAUAUUGAUCUAAAGCUUAAGGACUAUGGAGUGGAUCUCAUUGAAGUUUCAGGCAAUGGAUGUGGGGUAGAAGAAGAAAACUUCGAAGGCUUAACUCUGAAACAUCACACAUCUAAGAUUCAAGAGUUUGCCGACCUACCUCAGGUUGAAACUUUUGGCUUUCGGGGGGAAGCUCUGAGCUCACUUUGUGCACUGAGUGAUGUCACCAUUUCUACCUGCCAUGUAUCGGCGAAGGUUGGGACUCGACUGGUGUUUGAUCACUAUGGGAAAAUCAUCCAGAAAACCCCCUACCCCCACCCCAGAGGGAUGACAGUCAGUGUGAAGCAGUUAUUUUCUACGCUACCUGUGCACCAUAAAGAAUUUCAAAGGAAUAUUAAGAAGGACUCCUAGAAGUACCCCACCCCACCCCUGCUCCUUGGAGGACAACGUGAUCACUGUAUUCAGCUCUGUCAAGAAUGGUCCAGGUUCUUCUAGAUGAUCUGCACAAAUGGCUCCUCUCCUCCUUCCUGAUGUCUGCCAUUAGCACUGGAAUAAAGUUCCUGCUGAAAAUCCACAUC
rnacentral:lncRNA from 1 species